AGGACAAACGCUGGCGGAAUGUAUUAGGCAUGCAAGUCGCACGAGCCUUCGGGCUAGUGGCGGACGGGUGAGUAACACGUGGGUAACCUGCCUCGUAGUGGGGAAUAACUCGCCGAAAGGCGAGCUAAUACCGCAUAACACCCCCGGUGAGAAUCCGGGUGGUAAAAGCUCUGGCGCUACGAGAGGGGCCCGCGGCCGAUUAGCUUGUUGGUGGGGUAAUGGCCUACCAAGGCGACGAUCGGUAGCUGGUCUGAGAGGAUGAUCAGCCACACUGGAACUGAGACACGGUCCAGACUCCUACGGGAGCAGCAGUGGGGAAUAUUGGACAA
rnacentral:rRNA from 1 species